CGGCCAUUCUCGUCGCGGGCGCUGUGUCGUGUGGCGGGUAAUCCGCUUUGGGGCCGGGGUCUCCUGGCCGUGUUCGGCGGAUGGGCGUGAACUCGGCUCGGGCGCCGAGCCGAGUUCGAGCCGAGCCGAGUCCUGACCCGGUCUCGAACAGCCAUGCCAAAUGGACGGAACGGGCUGCGCGAUCGUGGCCUGAUAGUAUCCAGACGGUCGUUUCGCUGGAACGAACUCGUCUGGGGACGAAUGCUUCGAGAGGAGGGAGUUCGCCUAUCUUGACGUCCGACGCCUCGCUGAAGGACGUGCAGCCACAAACAUGCACCUCGACCAAAGUAGCAAUACGACACGAGCCGUGACAGCGCUCGUGUGCUGAACUUGGGACCAGUGACAGGCGGACGAGCUGAUCAAAACUCCGGUAGGGGCCAUACCUGGCAAGUUCGGGUAGCGGCCAUACCUAGUACGCGCUCGAUCGUGCCACCACCAGGAUCUUGUUGAGCAACUUCCGUCCGCGCCGAGCUGUUCUGCAUACUCCAGCUAUUAAAGAACGACAAAAUCGAAUGCAUGGCCGCAUUGCGAUGAGGGUAGUUGUUGGCCUGGGUGCUGUUAUCGUCCAAUCAACACAUGCUUCACUCAGUGUAUCAUGACGCGGUAUUUCUGCAUUGAUCCAUGCUUCAUUUGAACCAUAAAAGCUGACCACCAUUUAAGGCUCAUUAUUGGAACUGAACAUCGUGACAGAUACAUAGCACAGCGAAAGCAUGUCGCGACAAAUACUAUCAUAGUGGUGCAUUACAAUCAGGAGCACCAAUCCUCAUCAGACCUCCAACACCUGGCGGCCGGACC